UACAGAGGUCCCAAGCGUUGUUCGGAUUCACUGGGCGUAAAGGGUGCGUAGGCGGUCGGGUAAGUCUGACGUGAAAUCUCCAAGCUCAACUUGGAAAUGGCGUCGGAUACUAUUCGGCUCGAGGAAUGGAGGGGAGACUGGAAUUCUCGGUGUAGCAGUGAAAUGCGUAGAUAUCGGGAAGAACACCAGUGGCGAAGGCGACUUCCUGGCCUGUUCUUGACGCUGAGGCGCGAAAGCUAGGGGAGCAAACGGG
rnacentral:rRNA from 1 species